GAUGAACGCUGGCGGCGUGCCUAAUACAUGCAAGUCGAACGCACAGCGAAAGGUGCUUGCACCUUUCAAGUGAGUGGCGAACGGGUGAGUAACACGUGGACAACCUGCCUCAAGGCUGGGGAUAACAUUUGGAAACAGAUGCUAAUACCGAAUAAAACUCAGUGUCGCAUGACACAAAGUUAAAAGGCGCUUUGGCGUCACCUAGAGAUGGAUCCGCGGUGCAUUAGUUAGUUGGUGGGGCAAAGGCCUACCAAGACAAUGAUGCAUAGCCGAGUUGAGAGACUGAUCGGCCACAUUGGGACUGAGACACGGCCCAAACUCCUACGGGAGGCUGCAGUAGGGAAUCUUCCACAAUGGGCGAAAGCCUGAUGGAGCAACGCCGCGUGUGUGAUGAAGGCUUUCGGGUCGUAAAGCACUGUUGUAUGGGAAGAACAGCUAGAAUAGGGAAUGAUUUUAGUUUGACGGUACCAUACCAGAAAGGGACGGCUAAAUACGUGCCAGCCGCCGCAGUAA
rnacentral:rRNA from 1 species